AUUGAACGCUGGCGGCAUGCCUUACACAUGCAAGUCGAACGGUAACAGAUCUUCGGAUGCUGACGAGUGGCGAACGGGUGAGUAAUACAUCGGAACGUGCCUAGAAGUGGGGGGUCACUACUCGAAAGAGUGGCUAAUACCGCAUGAGAUCUACGGAUGAAAGCAGAGGAUUGCAAGACCUUGUGCUACUAGAGCGGCCGAUGGCAGAUUAGGUAGUUGGGGGGAUAAAAGCUUACCAAGCUGACGAUCUGUAACUGGUCUGAGAGGACGAUCAGCCAGACUGGAACUGAGACUCGGCCCAGACUCCUACGGGAGGCAGCAGCGGGGAAUUUUGGGCAAUGGGCGCAAGCCGGAUCCAGCAAUGCCGGGUGCAGGAUGAAGGCCUUCGGGUUGUAAACUGAUUUUGUACGGAACGAAAAGCCCUGGGUUAAUACCCGGGGGUCAUGACGGUACCGUAAGAAUAAGCACCGGCUAACUACGUGCCAGCAGCCGCGGUAAUAC
rnacentral:rRNA from 1 species